rnacentral:rRNA from 1 species
GAUGAACGCUGGCGGCGUGCCUAAUACAUGCAAGUCGAGCGAACAGACGAGGAGCUUGCUCCUCUGACGUUAGCGGCGGACGGGUGAGUAACACGUGGAUAACCUACCUAUAAGACUGGGAUAACUUCGGGAAACCGGAGCUAAUACCGGAUAAUAUAUUGAACCGCAUGGUUCAAUAGUGAAAGACGGUUUUGCUGUCACUUAUAGAUGGAUCCGCGCCGUAUUAGCUAGUUGGUAAGGUAACGGCUUACCAAGGCGACGAUGCGUAGCCGACCUGAGAGGGGGGUCGGCCACACUGGAACUGAGACACGGUCCAGACUCCUACGGGAGGCAGCAGUAGGGAAUCUGCCGCAAUAGGCGAAAGCCUGACGGAGCAACGCCGCGUGAGUGAUGAAGGUCUUCGGAUCGUAAAACUCUGUUAUUAGGGAAGAACAAAUGUGUAAGUAACUAUGCACGUCUUGACGGUACCUAAUCAGAAAGCCACGGCUAACUACGUG